UUAAAUAAGUAAAUGAACACUCAUCAGAAGAGAAUAUAUUUAAUGAGGAAAAGAAUGGGAAGUGUUUAAAAACUUGGAACUACAUUACGCUGUGCCUUGAUACGAAGUUAUGUGUCCCAGAGUCUACCCGGAAGUGUAAUUUGUUUCUAUCAGCUUUUUGAUAAACAGUCAGCACUGUGAUCCAUCAUGGCUUUGACUCUUAACAACAGAGGCAGGUCUGGAGACCACCGUGUGGUUUAUUGUGACAGAAAGCAUGAAGGGUUACUACAACGAGGAGGAAAAACAGUGUUCAAAUGUUAAAGCAUGAAGUGUUACUACAACGAGGAGGAAAAACAGUGUUCAAAUGUUAAAGCAUGAAGUGUUACUACAACGAGGAGGAAAAACAGUGUUCAAAUGUUAAAGCAUGAAGGGUUACUACAACGAGGAGGAAAAACAGUGUUCAAAUGUUAACGGUCGUAGGCAAUGUUUCAGAAAUGACACCAGUCGGGCUGAAUUCCGCAUUAAUAGCAUGCGUCGUUGGAUUUACUACUUUUACAAUCUUCGCUAUUGUGACAGGGAACAUUCUAGAAAUCGAAUAUUAUCACGAGAAAGACGAACAGAAAAGUCGUUCAGGAAUUAGAAUCGGACGAGAGAAGAGAAAUAGCUAGCUAUAAGAAUGGAUAUUAAGGCUACAUUUUGAGCAGUCGGGGGAAACAGGCGCAAAGGUGCAGCUGUUUUAGAAAAUUAACAAUGAUAUGUCUGUAUUAUAUGUGCACCUGAAGUCUUAUAAAAUCAUUGAAGUCUAGUGUCUUUAUAAUAAACAAGCACUAAGUCAAAAAUCUCCCGGUGAACGGAAACAUAAUACGGCUGUGUGUACUACUGAUGGAUAACUGAUGUUACAGGGAUUUUAACAGUCUCCAUUAAAGUCCGUAUAUUGAAAAAAAAAUGUUUGUAACACUGAUCUUGUUUGCAUGCUCAGCUUGUAGGAAUAGGGGAUCAAUGUUUUGCACGAGGAUGUUUAGGAAUGCUCAAGUCUUUAGGAAUAGGGGAUCAAUGUUUUGCACGAGGAUGUUUAGGAAAUAACUCUUUAAAAAGCUUCUCAAAAACAGCAGGCCCAUACUAACUGCUAUCAAUAUGCAAGCAUCUCCAGGUUGUGCAAAUUCAGAUUGGUUUCAAAUGUGGCCCCGGGUGAAGGUUGGACCACAUUAAGGGAUAGAAUUUUCCUGAAUCCAGUAAAUGUUUUACCAAGCCCCUAACUCUGCUCCUCACUAAAGCAUCAAAAGCUGUGGUGGAUGAUUCCAGUGGAAGCGCGGCAGUAGGAAUACGAAAUCCAGAUGCAAACUCGGAAAAAAUAAACAAUGUUGAAAUAUAGAGAUUACACCACUCAGAAAACAAAAAAUCAUCAUGUUGCCUUUAAUUGAUGGAGUUGGCUGUUAUUGGCAGAUUACUUGACAAAAAGAUGAUGAUAUCAAUUUUGAAACGUCUGUUUAAUAAGUGUUUGAUAAAUUAAUCAUUGUUCAUCAUCUUCAUUUGUUAAAUAUGAAAAGGAAAAUGUUUCAGAACACUGUACACGAAUACUCUCAGGAGCAGAUCUAUGUUUGUUGUUUUAUUUCGCUGGUAGCGAUUUCUGACCGAUGCCAAGGCGAAGAUAACGAAUAUUGAACAAUCUCAUAACUCCUAAAAGCAAUACAAAAUAGAGAGUUGGACAAACGUUGACCCCUGGAUACACCAGAGGUGGGAUCAGGUGCCUAAGAGGAGAAUGCAUUCCCUGUAACACCUGUCUGAGCCUUAUAUCUUCAUCAGGUAAACGGAGUUAUCCGUAGUCAAAAUCAGGGUACCAAGAACGGCCUAACAAUCGGUAUGAAACACGUCAAACAAUACAACCUAUCAAUGAGUCUAAUGUUGUCUAUGCACCUGAUCCCAUCUCUGGUAUACCCAGGGAUCCGUGUCCACCCAACUCCCUAUUUUGUAUUUGGAGUUUUGGGAUUAUUUGUUAUCGUCUCCUUUCAUGUUUCUGCCUCCUAUUUGCAAGUAAUGUUUUUAUUGAUCAAGUCAAAAUGCAAGAUGAAUAUGUCAACAUGCAAGUAAAAUAUAAUCAGAAAAGAAUUUUGAAAUUUUUCAAAAAAUUAUCAAAUAUCGCCCACA